AAACCAACAGGGAUUGCCCUAGUAACGGCGAGUGAAGCGGCAACAGCUCAAAUUUGAAAUCUGGCCUUCUGGUCCGAGUUGUAAUUUGUAGAGGAUGAUUUUGGUGCGGUACCUUCCGAGUUCCUUGGAACAGGACGCCUUAGAGGGUGAGAGCCCCGUACGGUUGGAUGCCUAGCCUUUGUAAAUCUCCUUCGACGAGUCGAGUAGUUUGGGAAUGCUGCUCUAAAUGGGAGGUAAAUUUCUUCUAAAGCUAAAUAUUGGCCAGAGACCGAUAGCGCACAAGUAGAGUGAUCGAAAGAUGAAAAGCACUUUGAAAAGAGGGUUAAAUAGCACGUGAAAUUGUUGAAAGGGAAGGAUUUAUGACCAGACUUUUUCUAGAUGGAUCAUCCGGUGUUCUCACCGGUGCACUUUGUCUAGUUUAGGCCAGCAUCGAUUCUUAGCAGCGGAUAAAACCUUCAGGAAUGUGGCUCUUUCGGGAGUGUUAUAGCCUGUUGUAUAAUACGCCGCUGGGGAUCGAGGUACGCGCUUCUGCAAGGAUGCUGGCGUAAUGGUUAUCAAUCAC
rnacentral:rRNA from 1 species